GGGACAUUCUUGUUGUUAGGAUGCUGUCUCUGAUCUUAUCAAGGCUCAUGAAGUUUCUCCUGAUGAUGAAACAAUUGCAGAGGUCUUGAGGGAUGCUGAGGAAAGAUUACUGAAGGAGGGAGGUGCACAUGCACCAAGAGGCUUAGUAAUUGAAGAGAUAAAUGAAGAUGAGAGUGCAGCUUCUUAUG